rnacentral:rRNA from 1 species
UACGAGGGGGGCAAGUGUUGUUCGGAAUCACUGGGCGUAAAGGGAGCGUAGGCGGAUGCUUAAGUUGGAUGUUUAAAACCGGGGCCCAACCUCGGAGCGGCAUCCAAAACUGGGCGUCUUGAAUGGAACAGAGGCUAGUGGAAUUGGGGGUGUAGCGGUGGAAUGCGUAGAGAUCCCCAAGAACACCAAUUGCGAAGGCAGCUAGCUGGGUUCACAUUGACGCUGAGGCUCGAAAGCAUGGGGAGCAAACAGG